UUGACAUCCAGCGAACUUGGCAGAGAUGCCCUUGGUGCCUUCGGGAACGCUGAGACAGGUGCUGCAUGGCUGUCGUCAGCUCGUGUUGUGAAAUGUUGGGUUAAGUCCGCAACGAGCGCAACCCUUAUCCUUUGUUGCCAGCGAUUCGGUCGGGAACUCAAAGGAGACUGCCGGUGAUAAACCGGAGGAAGGUGGGGAUGACGUCAAGUCAUCAUGGCCCUUACGAGUAGGGCUACACACGUGCUACAAUGGCGCAUACAAAGAGAAGCGACCUCGCGAGAGCAAGCGGACCUCAUAAAGUGCGUCGUAGUCCGGAUCGGAGUCUGCAACUCGACUCCGUGAAGUCGGAAUCGCUAGUAAUCGUGGAUCGGAAUGCCACGGUGAAUACGUUCCCGGGCCUUGUACACACCGCCCGUCACACCAUGGGAGUGGGUUGCAAAAGAAGUAGGUAGCUUAACCUUCGGGAGGGCGCUUACCACUUUGUGAUUCAUGACUGGGGUGAAGUCGUAACAAGGUAAGCGUAGCGAG
rnacentral:rRNA from 1 species